rnacentral:lncRNA from 1 species
UGGUUUACAUUUAACAUACAUCCAUGCAUCCUUGGUAUUUGGCAUGAAAAACUUGUCAUAAAGGAUACACAUGAAGUGAAUGGAAUCAACAUUAAAAUGUAAUGACCAUGAACUGAAACCACACCUCCCACAUCUCAAAGGUAUUCCGUAGUCAAAGGGAAUUAGUAAGCAAGGGUCUGGGUUAAGGUUAACCAUUCCUUUUACAAGACAAUCAUGUUCACAAUUAUAAAAACAAAUCACCCUUAAUAGAAAGAUAUCAUUCAAGACUAAAGGGUUGUGGUCUAAAAAUCCCCUCCUAGGAAUAAGCACACUUUUAUUCACAAGUUUGCCAAACAAAUAAUCAUCAUGAACAAGACUAGUGGCACAAUUUUCAUCACACAAGCUCAAGGGGUCAAGUUU